rnacentral:rRNA from 1 species
AGACAGAGGGUGCUAGCGUUGUUCGGAAUGACUGGGCGUAAAGGGCGCGUAGGCGGUUAUAUUAGUCAAGCGUGAAAGCCCCGGGCUUAACCCGGGAAUUGCGCCUGAAACGGUAUGACUAGAGGACGAGAGAGGAAAGCGGAAUUCCUAGUGUAGAGGUGAAAUUCGUAGAUAUUAGGAGGAACAUCAGAGGCGAAGGCGGCUUUCUGGCUCGUUACUGACGCUGAGGCGCGAAAGCGUGGGGAGC